GGCCUUAGCUCAGCUGGUAGAGCGCCUGCUUUGCAAGCAGGAUGUCAGGAGUUCGAAUCUCCUAGGCUCC
rnacentral:tRNA from 1 species